UGUUAAAAUGUUCAUCUAUUUCUAUUAUUAAAAACUGAUGUGACUGAUGACAUAUGUACCUCAUUCUAACAUACAUGGACUAAUUUUUAAUCAUAGAAAUGAAUAGACUUUUUAACA
rnacentral:pre_miRNA from 1 species